UGGGAACCGGCGUAAGGGGCAGUAAGGUGUGGGUACCUACCGCGGGGUCCGGGAUAGCCCGCCGAGAGGCGGGGUAAUACCGGAUGACCUCGGGAGAGCAAAGCUCCGGCGCCCCGUGAGGGGCCCACGUGAUAUUAGCUGGUUGGCGGGGUGACGGCCCACCAAGGCGGAGAUGUCUAGCGGGUGUGAGAGCACGACCCGCGCCACUCGCACUGAGACACUGGCGAGACAC
rnacentral:rRNA from 1 species